rnacentral:tRNA from 1 species
GAGGGUGUAGCUCAGUGGUAGAGCAUGUGCUUAGCAUGCACAAGGUCCUGGGUUCAAUUCCUAGUACCUCUG